CGCAUGCAUGUGAGUCUCCCGUCUCCCGCGCGCGCGGUAGAAUUUGCUUCACGAUUCACAAUCUUUCUACCAUUCUACGUUGGUCGCAUUUAUGGAUAAUGCGAUAUUGCAAAAGUCGGUAUCGCAAGUAUUCGGCAAGUAGUUUGCCAGUAGUUUGCGCUACUAGCGUGGUAUACUUCGUGUACGCAAACAGUUUGUAAUAAAAACCAAGACUAACCAAAUAGAUCUGUCAAGAGGAAUCAUUGAAUUAUUUUUCAAAAAUAAAGUCCACUUUUCUAUUUUUUCCAUCAUGUUUGCAGUAAGGCGUAUUCUCGUCUCCAAUACAAUCAAGGACAUAUUUGUGAGAUCAAAGCACUCGCUUCCAGAUUUACCGUAUGAUUAUAAAGCUCUAGAGCCCAUCAUAAGUGCAGAAAUAAUGCAGCUUCAUCAUUCCAAACAUCACGCAACAUAUGUCAAUAACUUGAAUAUUGCUGAAGAGAAGUUGAAGGAAGCAGCUGCAAAAGGUGACGUCAAUACACAAAUCGCUCUAGCCCCAGCCAUCAAGUUUAAUGGUGGUGGUCAUAUCAAUCAUUCGAUCUUCUGGUGUAAUCUUUCACCCUGUGGUGGUGAUCCAGAUGCCACCUUGGUGAAACAGAUUGAGAAGGAUUUUGGCAGUUUGGAAGAAUUGAAAAAACGUUUAUCUGAAACAACUGUGGCAAUUCAGGGCUCUGGCUGGGGUUGGCUUGGAUAUGAUCAAAAAGCGAAGUCGCUCAGAAUAGCGACCUGUGCGAAUCAGGAUCCGCUGCAAGCCACAACUGGUCUUAUACCUCUCUUUGGUAUCGAUGUAUGGGAACAUGCUUAUUAUUUGCAAUACAAGAAUGUACGUCCCGACUAUGUGAAAGCAAUCUUUGACAUUGUCAAUUGGAAGGACGUGAACGCGCGUUUCAAAACCGCUGCCGGCUGCUGAAGAAUCGAUGUAGACAUUUAGUGCAUUUGAAUCCGUUUUAAAUAUGUCAUUUAAAAUGACACUUUUUAGGACUAUAUCUAACAAGAUUUGUGUAAUUAUGAACAAGUGAUAAGUAAAACAAAUGUAAAAAGUA
rnacentral:misc_RNA from 1 species